rnacentral:rRNA from 1 species
UUACGGGAGGCAGCAGUGGGGAAUCUUGCACAAUGGAGGAAACUCUGAUGCAGCGACGCCGCGUGAACGAUGAAGCCCUUCGGGGUGUAAAGUUCUUUCGCCAGGAACGAUAAUGACGGUACCUGGAGAAGAAGCUGCGGCUAACUACGUGCCAGCAGCCGCGGUAAUACGUAGCCAGCAAGCGUUGUUCGGAAUUAUUGGGCGUAAAGAGUAUGUAGGUGGUGUCGUAAGUUUGGUGUGAAAUCUCCUGGCUUAACUGGGAGGGUGCGCCGAAGACUGCGAUGCUUGAGUAUGGGAGAGGGAAUCGGAAUUCCUGGUGUAGCGGUGAGAUGCGUAGAUAUCAGGAGGAACACCUGUGGUGUAGACGGGUUCCUGGACCAUUACUGACACUGAGAUACGAAAGCGUGGGUAGCAAACAGGAUUAGAUACCCCAGU